GGCUUGUCUGGUUUCGUAGGGCCACCGCCGUCGGGCCGCCACCACCAUCGUCGGUUGCCGUCACCGUCACUGCAUAGCUGUCGGAUUCACGGAAGAGUUGAAGGUGAGAAUAAUUUUUUUAAUUUAUAUAUUUUUUAAUUUUUAUUCUUUUUUUCUCAAUUAAUUUUAUCCAUUAGAAGUAAUUAUUUAUUAUUUUAGU
rnacentral:lncRNA from 1 species